CCAGAUUUGAUUGAUGCCUUUUUGUAUCAAUUUAUCCCAGAAGUAAUUUUAAACUUCCAUAAUUUAAACUAUUACCUGUUCCAACUGGUAUAACUGUUGCAAAGAAUUCUUUUAUACACUAUAACUAUCAUCUGCUUCAAAGUGAUACGCCUUUCCAGUUUUCAAGAUGCCCAAAAUUAUGGCAUUUAGAUCUUUCUUUGCUUUUGGUGUCCAUGAUAUACCAUGUACUGUUUUAAGGUGGGAGAAAACUGUAUGAUUUCCAGCAUUUGUCCAGUUGAAUCAUCAAAAACUACUCACGGAUGGCUUUAAAUUCCUCAUAUUCCACAUUUCCAGCAAAUAAUACAAUAAUUUCAGUCUUAUAAAUAAUCCUCAUUCCGGUACAGAAUUUGUAACUGCCUCUGUCUGGAAGUGAUCACCCGUACAUGUAUGCAACAAUCUCCUGGUGAGGGAAAUAAGUUUCCCAACACCACAAAAUUAUGUAGUUUUAUUAAAUCUUAUCAAAAUGUUCAAUUAUGUAUAAAAACAUACAACAGAAGUUCAUUUUACUGUCAAAACAUUACCAGCUGAUUACAACCUUUA
rnacentral:lncRNA from 1 species